rnacentral:tRNA from 1 species
UUAUUUUAGAUGAUAUAAACUAAUUUUGGCAUAGUGGCCGAUUGGAAAGGCAGGGGUCUGCAAAACCUCUUAUAGCGGUUCGAUUCCGCUCUUUGCCU